AGCUGCUGUGCCGUGGCGAUGCCGUGUGGAGGCGAAGCACCCUCUCGGCAGCCGGCACGGAGCGCCUGCGCGCAUCCAGCCUGCCGCCAAGUGACAUGCAUUUUCCAUUCCCUGGGCUUCAUUACUUCUUGGAACGCAGACCUCGUCCGCCGGGCCAUGAGGGGCUUCGCUUCCCUCCGUGUUUAUUUUCGCUGCCGUGUGUUCUUUUGCCAGAUGUGGACACCGAGGCAUGGGAAAUCAAAGAAAUUUACCCCCGGUCGUUGGCAGAGCCACCGCUACAAAUAAUUUCCUGAUUUCCACUAACGACUGGAAUGCCCUCUAGACCGUCCGCUCUCUCCAGAUGUGCGCCGGCUUUAAAAAUUACACGGACCCCGCGACGCUUGGCCUCAUCUCCGCCGGUUGCUUUGGGGAGAGCCGGGAGCGACUCUGAUGCCGAGCAUGUGUGGGGACGCGGGGCGGCGAAGGCAUCUUUGGCACCCAGACGGCGCAGCCGGAACGCUGCGAUCUCCGAUGACAUGACUGCACCCUCUGGAGGGUACUGUUGCUCUUGCACAAAGCGUUUAUGGUGAUAAAACUCGGUCCAUAAAUCGUC